rnacentral:lncRNA from 1 species
GUUGGUGACCUCGGGUUCGUCUUUGCGUUGAAUGUGGUUCAGCACCAUCAUUCGGGGGUCACGGAGUUCUUCUCGAAGGCCCCGGUUGUAUUGGUUGAUGUGCAUGGACGUUUGGUCGAGGGGAUGGGCGGUCUUGGUUGUCGGAUGAGUUUGGUGGUUCGACAGGGCUAUUUGGAGAAUGGUCGGUCGAAUUAGGUGGCUCAUGGGGCUGGUAGACUACGACGAUUGGAGUUGGGCUACAGUUUCUUCUAGGACGGCGCGAUUGCGGCGAUGGAGAUGGAGGAGACUCGUCGGAGUCGAUGGUGAUAAAGGGUGGAACGAAGAAACGGUGUUGAAAGAAAGAGCGGACAAAGGGUGGAGCGGUCGUGGGUGGGGGCCAUGUUAGGGUGGUUGGUUUGAAAGAAAGAGGUGGUGGGUGGUGGUUUUGAAGAUGGUAAGGAAGGAACUUAGUAAAAAGAAAAAAAAAUGGUAGGAUUUGAAAAAGGGGUUUUAGUUUAUGGCCGGUCAAAUGGGGGUAAUUGGGUAUUUGAUUGGCGAAAGUGUUUUAUUUGUUUGAGGAGAGUGGUAGUGGAGUUUUAAUUUCCUAGGUGAAAAAGUAUGAUUUGAUGGGUGAAAGUUUUUUUUUUAAUUUGAAAAGAGGUGGACGGUUGGGGAGAGAGGGAAAGGUUAAAAUGGGGGUAUGGGGUUCUAGUUUUCUAGGUGAAAAGAUGGAUGUGAUAGGUGAAAGCUUAGGAUUUGAUAAAUUUGGAAAAGGGGUGGACGGUUGGGGGUUUUUUAUUAUUUUUUAUUUUUGAUUUUUUUAAUUUUUUAUUGGGAAAGGUGGUUGGGGUGUUUUUGGGCUUAAUUUUUGGGUUUGAAUUUGGGUAGGUAUGAUAGGUUUGGGUUUUGGUUAAUGGGUUAGCUUGGGUAUUGGAUUGGUUUAAAUGGUGGGUAGGUGGAGUGGGCCUUGGUUGAAAUAAAAAGAAUUUUGUGGGCAAACAUGGGGAAUUUAAUUUUGUCUUGGAAUGUCUCCCUGCAAAAAUAAAAUAAAAUAAAAUAAAAAUGAAAUAAAAUAGUAAAAAU